GUUACUGUAAAGAAAAACACUAGAUAUGGCUUGUGCAGUUGUAGAAUUUUGUGAUUCUAAUCAAGUUGAAAUCAUUUCAACAAAUUGGUUUGUUUCCAGUGAAGAAGAAUUUUGUUUAUGGCCUCCAAAAAAAUUGUCAACAAAAGCUCAGAAGAUGGCAAAAAACAGAGUGGCACCUGAUGCUCAAUGGGAUGCAUUCAAGAUUCGUGUUUUAGGAAAGGCUGCAAGCUACACUAGAGCUAUGAGAAAAGUUAGAGUAUGCAGAAAAUAAUUCUGAUUUAAAUUUUACAGAACAGGAGGCUGAAAAAAAUGAAUUUCAAAUUAGGUGUAAAAGAAAUGCAUCUAGAAAAAUGUCAUCAGAUUUUGAAUCUGGCGAUGAUUAUUUUCCUCUUGAAAAAAAAAAAUCAGCUGGGAAACCUAAACCAAUUAAAGAAAACCUAAUUCCUUCUCCUUAAUUUUCUGUGGCAUUGUAAUCAAAUUUACUAACAUUGUUAUCAGUUUCACCUUCUAUACUAUCAACAAAAUCAACUAUACAAAAAUCUUCUGUAACAACAUUAACAUCUCAAGACAUUGCACCAUUGAUGACACCAACCCAGUGCCCUGGUGUUUCAAACACAGCAGUAAGUUAUUUGUCUACGAUUGCAUCAACGGCUUCAAAUAUUGAUGCUGUAACAUUACCGAACAUUGGUGAGGUAUCUUCUUCAUUGUGCAGCAAUAUUUCUAAUCAAACAACAAAUGCAUUGGUUGUAAAGUUGCUGAAUGUGUGUGUGGGUAUUCAACAAACUCAGAAUAUCUACACUAAUAUGCUAAAUGCUAUGCUUCAACAAGGCAAUGUGGCAAUGCAGGCAUCACAAUUACCAGAUGGAAUAAUAUUACCAAUGGAUACCAUGAAAGCUUUUGAUGCAAUGGAAAUAAAGCUUUAAGAUAGCAAUAUUGCAAACAUAAUCGUUAAUUUGUUAGCCGAUCUCGGAGGAAGAAAAGUUGACGAAGCUGUUCGCCGCAUGAUGCAGCAGCUCCUUAGCAAUAAUUUGGCACUACAAUUUAAUUGUCAGCGAGGGAUGACAAAAAAAGUUUUAAAGGGUACUGAGGUGUUCCAAGUUGUUUAUAGAGCCUUAAAGCGCAAUGCUUUGACAUAAGCAUAUACGCAAAAAGAUUUUGAAGUGUCGCUCGCAAAAUGGCUCAUUGGUGCUCGUGAUCGAGAUGGUAAUAGAGCUAAACGUGUCGGAGCUACAAAACAACCGAAUAUACCUUAGUCACUUUAUAAUUUAAAUCUUUUAUACAUGUUAUGAGACAUAAUAAAGUAAUAAAUAUUAUAAUAAUCAA